UUUUGAAGUGGGAGGGGAUGAUGUGAUCAUGGAAAGCACCAAGGAAUGGAAUCAUGAACCUGAUCAUGGAGAACUGAUGUGAUCAUGGAAAGCACCAAGGAAUGGAAUCAUGAACCUGAUCAUGGAGAACUUGUAGCUGUGGAAGAACCUACACUUGAAGAAUGUUUGAGCCGAAAUAAAGCUUCUAUCAUCAGAGACAACUUGAUCUACAUUCAAGCUACUCUACACUCAAGCUGAUCAUCAUCUAGGCAAGUAGCUUGUGUGUACUCUUUUUCCCUUGAUUGGUUUUGUCCCACUGGGUUUUCCAAUCAAGGUUUUUAAUGAGGCCACAAGUUACUUCUCUUACCUCCUAGAUGAUUGAUCUUGGUCUGUCCACAUGAA
rnacentral:lncRNA from 1 species